CCUACGGGAGGCAGCAGUGGGGAAUAUUGGACAAUGGGGGCAACCCUGAUCCAGCCAUGCCGCGUGUGUGAAGAAGGCCCUCGGGUUGUAAAGCACUUUCAGUGAGGAAGAACGCCUGGUGGUUAAUACCCAUCAGGAAAGACAUCACUCACAGAGGAAGCACCGGCUAACUCCGUGCCAGCAGCCGCGGUAAUACGGAGGGUGCGAGCGUUAAUCGGAAUUACUGGGCGUAAAGCGCGCGUAGGUGGCUUGAUAAGCCGGUUGUGAAAGCCCCGGGCUCAACCUGGGAACGGCAUCCGGAACUGUCAAGCUAGAGUGCAGGAGAGGAAGGUAGAAUUCCCGGUGUAGCGGUGAAAUGCGUAGAGAUCGGGAGGAAUACCAGUGGCGAAGGCGGCCUUCUGGACUGACACUGACACUGAGGUGCGAAAGCGUGGGUAGCAAACAGGAUUAGAUACCCUGGUAGUC
rnacentral:rRNA from 1 species